AACGAACGCUGGCGGCGUGCCUAACACAUGCAAGUCGCACGAGAAAGUUCUUCGGAACGAGUAAAGUGGCGCACGGGUGAGUAAUCCAUAGGAACGUGUCUUUAGGAGGGGAAUAACAACGGGAAACCGUUGCUAAUACCGCAUAAUCAGGUAACUGCAAAGACGGCCUCUAUUUAUAAGCUGUCACCUAAAGAGCGGCCUAUGUCCCAUUAGCUAGUUGGUGGGGUAAAANCCUACCAAGGCAACGGAUGGGUAGCUGGUCUGAGAGGACGGAUCAGCCACACUGGAACUGAGACACGGUCCAGACUCCUACGGGAGGCAGCAGUGGGGAAUAUUGCACAAUGGGCGCAAGCCUGAUGCAGCAACGCCGCGUGAGUGAAGAAGGCC
rnacentral:rRNA from 1 species